UAAAAAUGUGCUUCUUUAUAUUGUUUCAUUAAAUUACAAUCUUUUUCCAUGUUUUCUCUGAUAUUUUCAGCCAAACUAAAGCUGUAAAAUAAAUAGUUUAAUGGCAUUCACCUUCUGUCUUCUCCAGUCUUUCCUGUUGCUCCUCCGUCAGCAUUAAUCUGUUUGCUUUUUAGAGCCUGAGUUCAAAUCUGGCCAUUGGAUAAAUCCUCCUUUGCUUGUUGGAGAACUUAGAUCAGGAAAUAAUGUAGAGCCGCUACAACCAAGCAACUAGAGGAAUGAAGGAUCUAACUAUGGCUGUGUUCACAAUGCAGCCUGAAGGGAACCUAAUCUGAUUUUUGUUUUUUUUAUUGCCAAUAUGUAAUCUGUACCUGAUGUUUUCAUGACAGUCUGAACAUUAAAAAUCUGAUUUUGCAACAAUA